rnacentral:lncRNA from 1 species
AGCCUGAAACUCAACAUCCAAAGACCCUUGAAGAGAUCCAGUCCUCUACAUCAGCAAGAAGCCCCAGCGCAGCUUCCACAGCUCCCUGGGGAGGUAGAACCUUCUUCAACCCAGCAGAACGCCCCAGCUCUGCCUUCAGAGUCCCUUGAGGAGGUCUACUCUUUAACAGAGCACGAGGCCCCAGCAUAGCAGCUCCCUGCCUCUGAGAGAUUGUAGCUCAGCCAUUACUACAUCAUCAGGUAAAUAUUCCAUUAAAAAGUUGGAGUGAAGCUCAGCACUCACACUUGCCCAAUGUCAGUCAAGCCUGUGGGUGUGGAGCUUACAGUAACUCCAGAGCCAGGCAAAGAACUUACGUCAAGCCAGGAACAGGCCCAGCUCAGCCUCCAGAGCACCCUGAGGAGGUGGACUCUUCCUCAACCCAAUUAGAGGCCCCAGCUGAGCCUCCAGGUCCUCCUGUGGAGUCUGAACUUUCCCCUAGAGAAAGAAGAAGCCUUCUGAGUUUCCCAGGGAGGUCCCAGCCCAGCCUCCAGAGUCCUCUAUGGAGAGAGCAGCUCAAAUUCGACAGUUCAACCUCCAGAUGAGGAUCAAGCUCCUUAUAACUUGUCCAAUGCUACAGUUAGACCUGCAGAUGUGGAGGUUACCAUACCUUCAGAGCCUAUCGAGGAGACUGAACCUUCUCCAGCCCAGCAGGAGGCCCCAACCCAGCAUCCAGAGGAGGCAAAAACUUCUGCAACCUAAGGGGAGGCCCCAACUGAGGCUCCAGGUCCUCCUGUGGAGCCUAACUUUCCUCCAGUGAGUAGGAGCAGCCAGCUCUGCCUUCUGAGUUUCUCAGGGAGGUUUAACCUUCUGAGAGCCAGCAGGAGGCCCCAGCCCAACCUCCAGAACAUCAUGAAGUAACAGUUUCACCUCCAGGUCACCAUCAAGUUCAUUCGGAUUUGCUCAAUGUCACUGUUAAGACUCCAGAUAGCCACAGAGCCUACUGCAGAGGUAGGAACUUCUCCAAUGCACCAGGAGGCUACAGCUCAGUUCUCAGGGCCAGUUAAUGAUGUAGAAUGUUCCGUCACCCAGCACAGGGCCCACCUCUAUCUCCAUAGUCAUCGGAAGAGGCUGAACCUUUACCAGUUUAGCAGGAGACUUCAGUUCAAUCUCCAGAACCUGCUAAGGAUGAGAACCCCUCUCCAACACAGCAGGAGGCUGCAGCUGAGCAUCCACAGACCUCUGAGGAGGUUGAAUCCUCUCUAUCCUCGAAAGAGACCCCAGCUCAGCCUUCAGAGCUCCCUAAUGAAAGUGUGGUUCAACCUCCACAGCAUCAUGAGGAAGCCCCAGCUGAGUCCUUAAUGUCCCCGGAGCAGUUUCAACAUUUGAAAGACCAGCAAGAGAUUAUAAUUCAGCAGCUAAAUACCCCCGAAAAUGAUGGACUUCCUCCAGGCCAUCAAGAGCCCACAACUCAGCCUCCAACUCAGCUCUCCUCAGAAUUU